rnacentral:rRNA from 1 species
GAUGAACGCUGGCGGCGUGCCUAAUACAUGCAAGUCGAGCGAACGGACGAGAAGCUUGCUUCUCUGAUGUUAGCGGCGGACGGGUGAGUAACACGUGGAUAACCUACCUAUAUGACUGGGAUAACUUCGGGAAACCGGAGCUGAUACCGGAUAAUAUUUUGAACCGCAUGGUUCAAAAGUGAAUGACGGUCUUGCUGUCACUUAUAGAUGGAUCCGCGCUGCAUUAGCUAGUUGGUAAGGUAACGGCUUACCAAGGCAACGAUGCAUAGCCGACCUGAGAGGGUGAUCGGCCACACUGGAACUGAGACACGGUCCAGACUCCUACGGGAGGCAGCAGUGGGGAAUCUUCGGCAAUGGGCGAAAGCCUGACGGAGCAACGCCGCGUGAGUGAUGAAGGUCUUCGGAUCGUAAAACUCUGUUAUUAGGGAAGAACAGAUGUGUAAGUAACUGUGCACAUCUUGACGGUACCUAAUCAGAAAGCCACGGCUAACUACGUG